rnacentral:lncRNA from 1 species
CUUCGGCCAAAGCCCCCCCCCCCAUUCAUCGUGGGCGCGUGAGGCUUUUGGCCUUAACCUAAGGUGCUAGUUGUUUUGUAGGUGCAAAAUCGUCCAAGAUCGAAGAGGUGAAAAUUUGCAUCCACAUAUGUGGUGUGAGGGCAAUAUUAAAAAUUAUAUGAGAGUUUAGUUAAAUAUGUGAGAGUUUAGUUAAAUAAGUUUUAAUUAAAAAAAUAGACACAGGGUAUAUUAAAUAUGUGAAAGUUUAGUUAACUAAAUGUUGGGUGUGUAUAAAACAACCCUUAUUUUUUAAUGCCAUAAAACACGUGCUAAAAUAUCAUUGACCAAAUCAAAAGAUUGAAUACUCAUUAGUGAGUACGUAAGUCUUACUUGCAUCUAUUCACCCUAUCAAUAAAUAUCGUACUUGUUAAAAGAAAACAACAUUAAAACCCAUAGCCCAAAUAAAAUAAUCACUUUAUUUGUCAAUAAAUACUUUUUUUCCUCUUCAACUAAUAUCAAAAUCACUUACCAAAAUUUAUCUCGCUAAGGUGAAAAUGUUAGUUGACUUAGGCCCAGUUUGGUAUUUUUUUUCACCAAAUACUGCUUCACUUUAAAGUUAAGCAGUAAAAAAGUAUUUGGUAAAAUUAAAAUAUGCUGCUUAUUUUAAAAGCAAUGACCUCUAGACAUCAACUUUUAAAAGCAGCCUAUAUGUUGCUUUUAAAAAUUGCUUUAAUAAAAAACAGAGUUAACCCUUAUUUUUUAAGCCUUUAAACAAUGACAUUAUUUAUCCUUCUAGACACUGCUUUUACAUUGUUUUUCAUACUCACAACAUUUUAAAAAAUACAGUUUAUCAAACGCUCAACUUUUUUAUUUUAUAGCUGAUUAUUCUUAAAGCACAGCAAAAUCAAUUUAUUAAAAAAAACACAUAAAUCCCAAAUUGGCCCUUAAUCCUACAAUCAGUGUUUAAAAAUCCUCGUCUAGACCUUGCCGGUUAGGCGCUAAGUUGUUGGCUACUAAUACAAUUAAUCCUAGCUAUUUAAAAUUCUACGAUUUUAUAAAUUUUAAAAGUGGGAAUUGACGAAAAUUCCCUUAGAGGCGAGGAUGUUGACUUUCGUUGACCAAUGUAUUGUGAGAUGUAUAAAACAUUCUUUUAGCGUAUCCUCGUAGUGCUCAUCAUUACGAACAUGUAGGCGGAAUCGGAAUCGAAGCUACGGUUAAAAUUUUAUGGAACUAUGAUUGUAAAGGACGUUUUAGAAAUUUCACGUUUAUGGGAGAUAAUUUGAUUUUGUCUUUUGGCCUUAGGCUGUGUACCACGUGGGGCCCACAGUUCAUUCUUCCACCUUUUUCCUGUGUCCCCCAUCUCUAGGGACAAUCUCACUUUAAAAAAAAAAAAAAUAUUUCCCUCACCUCACUUCGACCACUCAUUGGCUGCCAACUCAUCUUUUUCCCUCUAACCUCUCAGCUCUCAUCUUCAUCCAUCUCAGACUCCCUCUUUCUCUGUACACGUAGAGAGGUCGAGAUGGUCUGCCCAAAAACCAAACCCUGAUGAUGAUGUUUCACUCGAUGACCACCAUAUCCUUGUUCCUCUUAAACCUUUCUCCAAACUCUCAGUCUCUUUCUUGUCCCUUCCACCUCCAUUGGUAUGGAGAAAGUAACAGUGAAUAGUCACCUAACUAAGCCAACUCCGACGAGAUUUCUCAAGAUUCCAACCAAGGUAAGCUUUGAAAUUGAUGGUAAUCAUCUUAGAUCACUGUUUUGUGCAUGAUUCUUGUAAUAUUUGAGAGAAAUGUCGAAGUUUUAGUGCAUAUCAGUUCGGGAGAAACUCUCCCUAGUUUUCUUGCGAGAGAUCCAGUGUUUUCGAACCGUUUCCUGGCCAACCCUAGCCAUGGCAUGACCUCACAUUGGUAUAUUUCUCUUCCUGUCCUCUUAAUCUUCAUUUUGGUAGGAAAAGUGUGAAAAAUAGUUGAGAAAUUAAGCUAUUCCAACCUCGUUUUGUUAUCCAGCGAGAUU